rnacentral:rRNA from 1 species
UACGUAGGGUGCAAGCGUUGUCCGGAAUUAUUGGGCGUAAAGAGCUCGUAGGCGGUUUGUCGCGUCUGCUGUGAAAACUCGGGGCUUAACUCCGGGCCUGCAGUGGGUACGGGCAGACUAGAGUGCGGUAGGGGAGACUGGAAUUCCUGGUGUAGCGGUGGAAUGCGCAGAUAUCAGGAGGAACACCGAUGGCGAAGGCAGGUCUCUGGGCCAUUACUGACACUGAGAAGCGAAAGCAUGGGGAGCGAACAGG